AUGGCGUGGCCGUGCUUGUUGCAGACGCUCUUGGUUUCCACCUCUCUUGGAGCCAGCAUGGCCCAGACAGUCACUCAGCGUCAGCAGGAACAGUCUGUGCAGGAGACAGAGUCAGCAACACUGGACUGCACCUACGACACGACUGAUACUAACUACAACUUGUUCUGGUACAAACAGCGAAGAGGGCAGAUGACUCUUGUUAUUCGCCAAGAAGCUUAUAUACAGCAGAUUGCAACGGAGGACCGCUUCUCCGUAAACUUUCAGAAAGCAGCGAAGUCCUUCAGCCUCGAGAUCUCAGACUUGCAGCUGGAGGAUGCUGCGACCUAUUUCUGUGCACUCAUGGAGAGGGUAGGUGGCUGUGCUACAGACAAACUCGUCUUUGGACAAGGAACCCAAGUGAUCGUGGAACCAAAAAUUCAGCCACCUACCAAACCAUCUGUUUUCAUCAUGAGAAAUGGAACGAAUGUUGCCUGUCUGGUGAAGGAUUUCUAUCCCAAGGAUGUGACUAUAAGUCUCAAGUCAUCCAAGAAGAUAGCAGAAUUUGACCCUGCUGUAGUCAUCUCCCCCAGUGGGAAGUACAGUGCCGUCAAGCUUGGUCAGUAUGGAGAUUCCAAUUCAGUGACAUGCUCAGUUCAGCACAACAGUGAAACUGUGCACUCCACUGACUUUGAACCACAUGCAAAUUCUCUCGAUAAUAUAAAACCACCAGAACAUGAAAAUGCCACACAAACUUCAGAGACUUGCCGUGGCCCAAAAGUUCACACCAAGAAGGUAAAUAUGAUGUCCCUCAUGGUGCUGGGGCUACGAAUGCUGUUUGCCAAGAGUGUGGCCAUCAAUUUCCUCUUUACUGCCAAGUUAUUCUUCUUCUAAGGCUGGCUGGCGUGAGGAGCCUACAGUUCCUGAAAGAAAAUCAAAAGCUUAGGAAGACGCUAUAUCCAAGGCUUCCAACUCCUUCGUGCGCCAAACUGACCCGUCACCACCGCCUCUAAACAGCUGCUAACAAAACCAGCUUUUCUGCGAGGGCAACAAGCCUAGCUAAUCCUCCAGUCCAGUAGAAAAACAGAAGCCCUGGGGAGUAGGGUUUGUGGGCCUGGCUUUACACACUGCUUUAUAAAGGCUCGGAAAGCUAUGAAAACAUAGACCUAUUUUAUUUCACCCCAAUAACGGGUAUACUUUGGAAAUGGUGUUCCAUCCUUCUUUAUUUACCCAGAACUAGAAAGUGGGGACCAGUAAAUCAGCAGCUUAAUUACCCAGGAGGAAAAUGGUCUUGGGAGAGAGAACAUGUAUCUUUUUAGCUUAACGUGGAAAGCUGCACUCAGCCCGUUCGUAGCCCGCGCCCGCCCCCUCCUCCUCUCCUGAGGCAUGG